GAUGGCCAGCCAGAUGAGCAGGUACACAGUGGUUCCCCAUUUGCUCUUUAUUGUUGGCCUGUCUCCCUUGGGAUGGGCUGUCCAUCAGCCCCCAUACAUGGUGGUCAGUCAGGGACAGCCACUGACACUGAACUGCUCCCAAAAAUCAACCAGUUUCAACUACAUGUACUGGUACAAACAGGCUGUGGGGAAGGAUGCAAGGCUGCAGCUGGUGCUGUUUUCUAUAGAAGACUCUGGUGGAACAGUUGAGAAGCCAUUUGAAAGUCACUUCCAGAGCAGUGGAACAAAAAACUAUGUCCUGUCUCUGUCUGCAGAGAGAGCCCAGUUGCAAGACUCAGGCACAUAUUACUGUGCUAAGCAAGAUCACACAAAUCUCUCCUGCUUUACAAAUUAA